UACGAAGGGGGCUAGCGUUGCUCGGAAUCACUGGGCGUAAAGGGUGCGUAGGUGGCGCGGUAAGUCGGGUGUGAAAUCUCGGAGCUUAACUCCGAAAUUGCAUUCGAUACUGCCGUGCUUGAGGACUGGAGAGGAGACUGGAAUUCCUGGUGUAGCGGUGAAAUGCGCAGAUAUCAGGAGGAACACCGGUGGCGAAGGCGGGUCUCUGGGCCGAUACUGACGCUGAGGCACGAAAGCGUGGGGAGCAAACAGG
rnacentral:rRNA from 1 species